UACAGAGGGUGCAAGCGUUAAUCGGAAUUACUGGGCGUAAAGCGUGCGCAGACGGUUGUUUAAGUCGGAUGUGAAAUCCCCGGGCUCAACCUGGGAAUUGCAUUCGAGACUGGAUAGCUAGGGUACGGAAGAGGGAAGCGGAAUUUCAGGUGUAGCAGUGAAAUGCGUAGAUAUCUGAAGGAACAUCAGUGGCGAAGGCGGCUUCCUGGUCCAGUACCGACGUUCAGGCACGAAAGCGUGGGGAGCAAACAGG
rnacentral:rRNA from 1 species